rnacentral:rRNA from 1 species
AACGCUAGCUACAGGCUUAACACAUGCAAGUCGAGGGGCAGCAUGGUCUUAGCUUGCUAAGACUGAUGGCGACCGGCGCACGGGUGAGUAACACGUAUCCAACCUGCCGUCUACUCUUGGACAGCCUUCUGAAAGGAAGAUUAAUACAAGAUGGCAUCAUGAGUCCGCAUGUUCACAUGAUUAAAGGUAUUCCGGUAGACGAUGGGGAUGCGUUCCAUUAGUUUGUUGGCGGGGUAACGGCCCACCAAGACUACGAUGGAUAGGGGUUCUGAGAGGAAGGUCCCCCACAUUGGAACUGAGACACGGUCCAAACUCCUACGGGAGGCAGCAGUGAGGAAUAUUGGUCAAUGGGCGAGAGCCUGAACCAGCCAAGUAGCGUGAAGGAUGAAGGCUCUAUGGGUCGUAAACUUCUUUUAUAUGGGAAUAAAGUUUUCCACGUGUGGAAUUUUGUAUGUACCAUAUGAAUAAGGAUCGGCUAACUCCGUGCCAGCAGCCGCGGUAAUACGGAGGAUCCGAGCGCUAUCCGGAUUUAUUGGGUUUAAAGGGAGCGUAGGUGGAUUGUUAAGUCAGUUGUGAAAGUUUGCGGCUCAACCGUAAAAUUGCAGUUGAAACUGGCAGUCUUGAGUACAGUAGAGGUGGGCGGAAUUCGUGGUGUAGCGGUGAAAUGCUUAGAUAUCACGAAGAACUCCGAUUG